ACAAUAUAAUGCAAUGUACUCUAUUCAAGUACUUGCUCUACUUUUGUGGGUAUAUCCCGCAGUACAAAGCAAGUCCAUGUAACACUAAGGCCAAAGACCUCAACGGUGGAAAGGCGGAGGAUGAUUGCUAACCCUAAGGAGCCUCUCAACGGCUGGGAUGGCGGAUGAAGGCUGCAGCCGAAAAGGGUCCCCAGUCGUCUUGGACUCCAUGCCACUGGACCCUGACCUGGAUCUGUCAAUGAUCGUGUGGUGACUGUCUGUGCACCAGUCUCCCCACGUUAAACAAAAUCACGCACAGGUAUCCUCCAUACAGGGAUACCCCCCUACUAAGAGGAUCGUCAUAUUCGUUUCGAGCGACCGCCGAUGAUGAUCCGAUAUUGAUAUCAAAUAUCGAUAUCCAAUAUCAAUAUUGAAUAACUAUAAUGCAUUUAAAAACACAACAUUUUUAAGUAUAAAUUAUAAUUACUUACAUGUUCAACAUCUUCAAGGCAGAAGUGUAUUAGAAAGGAUCCAAUAAAAAAUGUGUCUGCAUCA